UACGAAGGGGGCUAGCGUUGCUCGGAAUGACUGGGCGUAAAGGGCGCGUAGGCGGCUCAUACAGUCAGGCGUGAAAUUCCUGGGCUCAACCUGGGGACUGCGCUUGAGACGUGUGGGCUUGAGUGGGGAAGAGGGUCGUGGAAUUCCCAGUGUAGAGGUGAAAUUCGUAGAUAUUGGGAAGAACACCGGUGGCGAAGGCGGCAACCUGGUCCUUGACUGACGCUGAGGCGCGAAAGCGUGGGGAGCAAACAGG
rnacentral:rRNA from 1 species